rnacentral:rRNA from 1 species
UACGAACUGUGCGAACGUUAUUCGGAAUCACUGGGCUUACAGGGUGCGUAGGCGGCUUAGCAAGUCAGGUGUGAAAGCCCCCGGCUCAACCGGGGAACUGCGCUUGAAACUGCUGAGCUCGAGUCAGCUAGAGGUACACGGAACUUCCAAUGGAGCGGUGAAAUGUGUUGAUAUUGGAAGGAACACCGGAGGCGAAAGCGGUGUACUGGGGCUGGUCUGACGCUGAGGCACGAAAGCCAGGGGAGCAAACGGG